GCUUGUCUUCACUUCUGUUGGAUUCUCUUAGCCUUUUCAAACUCCUUGGGAGCCCCUUUCUUCAGUAGCCAAUCCCAGGACCCCAAGUCAGUGUGGGUUGGCCUCAUCUUCUCAUGCAGCAGAGAGAAGAGGGAUCUUCAGAAGUUAGCUGUUUCGAAAGUCAGUAUAGAAGUAGAAUUGUUAGCCAGUGGCCAUCUUGUGGCUUUGAUUUAUUUUUUUCAACCAAACCAUUUUCCCCAGAUUAGUCUUCAUCAGGAGUAGAUGACAUGAUUGGGUUAGAGCAUGAGUGAUGUGGAGAAAUCAGGAUGGGACAGGAUGAUACAGAGUCUGUGGGACAAACUGACAAUGGAGGUACAACUCAGACUUUGGGAGCAGAAGGCCACUGUCACCAGGACCACCUGCUUGAAAUCCACGGGAAGUGUUUUUAGUUCCUCCAUUAGCACACGUUCCCUCAACUGGUCCUGGAAACCAAGGGAGCAGACACCAUGGUGGAAAAACAAAAGCAAAAAUAUAGCAACAACAACAAAACCCAAGCCUGGAGUCACCGAGAGCAAAACUCCAGUUGGAUGGGAAAAUCCAGUCCUUUUAACCAUCAUAUGGCUUUCUCUUGACUAUUUUAAAAUAAACUCAACAUUGCUUUACAGUUUUUGUUUUUUAUCAUACAUAAAACAACCAUUACAGCAACAGUUUGUCCUGUAAUCCUUUCCAUUUGUUUACCAUACUUUUUUUUUUUAAGUUUUUCAAUGCCACACUUACUGCUUUUGACAUAAUAAAGCAUAAAUGGCAGGGAACAUUUUUCUUUCUUUUUUUUUCAAUUUUUGUUUUUGUUUUUAGAGCUAAGCUAUUUUUAGGGAAGAACAAAAGAACUGGCAAGCUCCAAGGACUGUCUGUCUGGUGAAGAACCUUGGCACUUUAUCCCAGGUAGGAUUUGGCUAGUUUGGUCUGCCAACCAAGGAAGGAUCUACCCACAGAGUGGUGACUCAGAGCCCACAGGCAAACUGCAUCUGUGAAGUUCUUUGGAACAGCCGUGGAGGCAGUGUCUUAACACAGUAGGACAACAACGGGGGACCCGGCUCCCUACUACCUCCAGUGGAGAGGAUCCCAGUGAUAGAAUGAGUGUCUGGAGCUGGAUGCCAGCUGUGACCCCACCUGUCCCCCCUGAACUAUGCACAUCAGCCUCCAAAGGAACCUGAAACUUCCGAAAGCAGAAAUGGAGGUGAUCACACUGCUGGUUCAGGGCAAUGACUGUCAUGGACACAUAUUUCAACAUUCAAGGAUGUCCAGGUAGACGGAGAUAUGCUAAUAGUUUCCAGAGAGGUGGGGAAACUGCUGGUUCAAUGAUUGUCCCCAUCAGGCUGGGGGAUAAUGAAAAGUCUCUUUCUUUGGCUCAAAUAGCUUCCUCCUGUUGGUUGACUUUUUUUUUUCUUUCCAGAAGAGAAGUGUUUUACUUAUUGAAUUAUAUAAAGCUGAAGUUACUGGAUUUGUUAUAGAAGAGGUUUGUUAUUCCUAAUUUACUGUUUGUGCUUUGCUUCAGGACAAUUUUAUUGUACAAAUCUAUCAUUAUGAACUGAACUUUAAAAUGCAAAAGACUUAAGUGGAAUUUUAAAUAUUUCCUAUAAUUAUUUCACAAUAGCAUAUGGAUUAACAAAUAACCCAGAGUAGAGGACAAGAGCAGAGAUGUUUAUGGGGGGGGGGAUAGUACAAAUGAAAUAUGGUUUGGCCAGGUUUAAUACACACAGAAUAUACUUUAAUACUUUCAUAUGGUCUGAAUAAUAUCCCCAUAUUGAUUUUUUCCUUGUUUCUACCAACUCCGCAGCAAAUGUACGACAAUGGCUCCUUGAUUUAUUGCGAGUGUAGCAAUGGGUUUAUAACGGCAUGAAUCAUGCCGAUUGCUCAAUUCACCACAUGCCUUAAUAAAAGUUUCACUUUAAUAAAACUGAGCUAAGGCAAAUAUGCCUAGAGGCUGGUCUGACAUUCCUUAUACAUUACCCUGCCUCAGGAAAUUAUUGCCAUAUAUUUUACAGCAGCUACAGUAGGCUAGGGGAUCAGGAUUAAAAUCUACUAACUACCGUGAUAUUUAACAGAACUCCUGUGUUCCCAGUUAACCCUCACAGGUACAAAAUGGACAGCUAGCUAUUAAGAGAUAGCCCAGUGGAGAGGUGAGCUGGACUGGGAGCCAGGCAGCAGGGAUCAGAUCUGACCCUUGUCACACCACACAUGCCCCUGAAGCUCUCUGUGCAAUGGAGGUGGAAGAGCACCUCCUGUUUCCUUCCCAAGUGAGAGUCAGCAUCAUAGGAGAAAAAGAAGGCAGCAGAUAGCAGGCAGUGGUGCCAUCUGCAGAAACAGGCUGACUCUUUGGCAGGACUAAGCAUCCUAGUUGUUAGCAACAGCUUAUUUGCAUGAAGAACGGGUACAAAUCUCUUUAAAGAAGUCUCAGGGCUCAGGGAUGAAAGGCCAGUCCUUCUAGAAACUCCAGACUGGUUUUCAUCUUCUCUAGUAAGAGCUGGAAAUGCACAACCAUGCCGGCAUUGUUUUGAAAAAAAUCUAAGCCAGAGUGUGAGAAGGCAGGCCAUGAACUGAGGGCUGCCGUUCGAACGACUUAUCACCUGCUGGCUAUUUCUCUGGAAGAAAUUAUGAUUAGAUGAUACUGUUCUGUGGGGACUAGUGCAGUGUUUAUUAGUCCCUAAGACCAAGCAAGCCUCUAUGGAUUUUCUAGCCAAUGUGAAUCAUUUAGGCCUUACUGAGGAGUGUUACAUACACUAAGAAAGUGGCUUGAUCCUCUGGUAAAUCAGGCAUCUGUGUUACCAGAGACAAGCUGCAAAAUCUCUCUGGGCUUUUGCUUCUUAGUCUGUCAAAUUUACUGAAGUGGAAAAUGCAAAAUGCUUGGGCACAUAAUAGACAGUUAGAGAUGGAUUCUCUGUCCCCACUCACAUCUAUUUUGUAAUAAUUUGCCAGCAUCUCCAUGAUUGGACUGCCUCCCUCACGUAGCUCUCUCCUGGUCUUGCACCAGCUCUCGGCUCUAAUUUUCCCUAGGUAACAGUUCAAUAGGAAAGGGCUUGGUCUGCCCAGCAUCCUAUACUAGUUUCAUGGACUUCUUUCUGCUAUGACAGCAUCUUCCUCACAUUUAACUGCUACUCAAGCACUCUAUAUACAAAUGAGAAUUUGUUCCCCCAUCUCCAGCUAGAGCCUUGAAGGAAUUUUUGUUUUCCUACGUUUUGUUCCUCUUGUGUUAAAUUUUGUGUCUGGUACCUGGGAAAGAUGGUCAAUAGUGAACAAAUGACUGUGUGGGCAAAUGCUAACUAAAUCAAUGGGUCCAUGCUUUGGAGCCAGAUCAAAUCUCAAAGACUGUUUUCACAGAGGUGAACUUGAUCAUAUGUUUUACAAAUGAGGGAAGACUAUGGAGAAACUGAUGAGCCAAAACUUAAUUGGCAACCUAAAGCUAUUGCUUCUAAGGUUGAAUACUGCAGUGAUACCUGACAGAUCGUUAUGGACCAUUAUGUACUAGACAGUCUGCUUAUCACUCUGCCUGCCUCACAUACUUAGACAACUCAGUGACAUAAAAAGCACCAUCCUCCCCAUAUUCCAACCUAAUACACUUGAGUCCAGAGACAUGAAAUAACCCUACCAAAGCUAUGCAACUCACAACAGCCAUGCUACCACAUGAAUAUGAGUCAGUUCUAUAUUUUCUGUAAAUCCCCGAUGAGUGCCCAGACUACUGGAGUCCACAAAAGAGAAAUACUUCCAUGAGAAACGUAUGGUCUUAGAGUGAACCAAGCUUA
ensembl:lncRNA